AUACGAAGGGGGCUAGCGUUGUUCGGAAUUACUGGGCGUAAAGCGCGCGUAAGCGGACUGAUCAGUUGGGGGUGAAAUCCCAGGGCUUAACCCUGGAACUGCCUCCAAUACUGUCAGUCUUGAGUUCGGGAGAGGUGAGUGGAAUUCCUAGUGUAGAGGUGAAAUUCGUAGAUAUUAGGAAGAACACCAGUGGCGAAGGCGGCUCACUGGCCCGAUACUGACGCUGAGGCGCGAAAGCGUGGGGAGCAAACAGGAUUAGAAACCCUAGUAGUCC
rnacentral:rRNA from 1 species